rnacentral:rRNA from 1 species
CUCAGGACGAACGCUGGCGGCGUGCCUAAUACAUGCAAGUCGAGCGGACAGAUGGGAGCUUGCUCCCUGAUGUUAGCGGCGGACGGGUGAGUAACACGUGGGUAACCUGCCUGUAAGACUGGGAUAACUCCGGGAAACCGGGGCUAAUACCGGAUGGUUGUUUGAACCGCAUGGUUCAAACAUAAAAGGUGGCUUCGGCUACCACUUACAGAUGGACCCGCGGCGCAUUAGCUAGUUGGUGAGGUAACGGCUCACCAAGGCGACGAUGCGUAGCCGACCUGAGAGGGUGAUCGGCCACACUGGGACUGAGACACGGCCCAGACUCCUACGGGAGGCAGCAGUAGGGAAUCUUCCGCAAUGGACGAAAGUCUGACGGAGCAACGCCGCGUGAGUGAUGAAGGUUUUCGGAUCGUAAAGCUCUGUUGUUAGGGAAGAACAAGUACCGUUCGAAUAGGGCGGUACCUUGACGGUACCUAACCAGAAAGCCACGGCUAACUACGUGCCAGCAGCCGCGGUAAUACGUAGGUGGCAAGCGUUGUCCGGAAUUAUUGGGCGUAAAGGGCUCGCAGGCGGUUUCUUAAGUCUGAUGUGAAAGCCCCCGGCUCAACCGGGGAGGGUCAUUGGAAACUGGGGAACUUGAGUGCAGAAGAGGAGAGUGGAAUUCCACGUGUAGCGGUGAAAUGCGUAGAGAUGUGGAGGAACACCAGUGGCGAAGGCGACUCUCUGGUCUGUAACUGACGCUGAG